UACAGUGAAGGAGGCUGCUGGAGAAGAAAGCAUACUUUAGCCUGCCCAUAUGGGACAGAUGGUGGAUACAGCGCAGUGGCAACAUCCCGAAUCGACAACGCUCAGAUAUAUUCCUGGCUGGAUAUUAUUUGUAAACACAAAUCCUGAGUUUAAUUGUGGGACUUGAAAAUUGCAAUAGGAUGCCUCCGAAAUAUGUUGCAAUUUCUUACACUGGGACGUGCUGCCCAUGCAAUGACCCUUUCAGUGACAAGACAGAAAUCACCUUAGCCACAAAGGACAAAGAAGGAGGAACUACAGGUUCCAACAAGCGACCCCUGCAUGCUGGUAAUUGGAGAACUACAAGACAGGACAUCAAAGGCCC